AUCCCUUCUCGACCUUUUGGCUAAGAUCAAGUGUAGUAUUUGAGCUUCAGAGUAUUUAUAUAUCAUCUGAUACUUUUUUUGUUUGUUUUUUGAGACAUGGUCUUGCCACAUGGUUUGCGCUGGCCUGGAACUCACCCGUGCAGCCUAGGCUGG
ensembl:snRNA U2 U2 spliceosomal RNA